UACAGAGGUCUCAAGCGUUGUUCGGAUUCAUUGGGCGUAAAGGGUGCGUAGGCGGCGCGGUAAGUCGGGUGUGAAAUCUCGGAGCUUAACUCCGAAACUGCAUUCGAUACUGCCGUACUUGAGGACUGGAGAGGAGACUGGAAUUUACGGUGUAGCGGUGAAAUGCGUAGAUAUCGUAAGGAAGACCAGUGGCGAAGGCGGGUCUCUGGACAGUUCCUGACGCUGAGGCACGAAGGCCAGGGGAGCAAACGGG
rnacentral:rRNA from 1 species